rnacentral:rRNA from 1 species
UACAGAGGGUGCGAGCGUUAAUCGGAAUUACUGGGCGUAAAGCGCGCGUAGGCGGCUUGUUAAGUCGGAUGUGAAAUCCCUGGGCUCAACCUAGGCAUUGCAUUCGAUACUGGCAAGCUAGAGUAUGGGAGAGGAAGGUAGAAUUCCAGGUGUAGCGGUGAAAUGCGUAGAGAUCUGGAGGAACACCAGUGGCGAAGGCGGCUUCCUGGCCUGUAACUGACGCUGAGACGCGAAAGCGUGGGGAGCGAACCGG